rnacentral:rRNA from 1 species
UACGAAGGGGGCUAGCGUUGUUCGGAAUUACUGGGCGUAAAGAGCGUGUAGGCGGCCCGGUAAGUCCGCUGUGAAAGUCCAGGGCUCAACCCUGGGAUGCCGGUGGAUACUGUCGGGCUCGAGUCCGGAAGAGGAGUGUGGAAUUCCUGGUGUAGCGGUGAAAUGCGCAGAUAUCGAGAGGAACACCUGCGGCGAAGGCGGGUAGCUGGGCCGACACUGACGCUGAGGCGCGAAAGCCAGGGGAGCGAACGGG